rnacentral:rRNA from 1 species
UGAAUACGAGGCACUAAGGUGCUGAAGUAGUGUAUGUCAUACUUCCAAGAAAAGCUUGCACUAUCGUAAGAUAAAAAUGCCUGUACCAUAACCGACACAGGUGGGUAGGUAGAGUAUACUAAGGGGCGCGAGAUAACUCUCUCUAAGGAACUCGGCAAAAUAACUCCGUAACUUCGGGAGAAGGAGUGCCUUAUUCUAUAAGGUUGCAAUAACAAGAUCCAAGCAACUGUUUAUCAAAAACACAGGUCUCCGCUAAGUCGUAAGACGAUGUAUGGGGGCUGACGCCUGCCCAGUGCCAGAAGGUUAAAGAAGUCGGUUAGCAAUUGCGAAGCUGGUAACUGAAGCCCUGGUGAACGGCGGCCGUAACGAUAACGGUCCUAAGGUAGCGAAAUUCCUUGUCGGGUAAGUUCCGACCCGCACGAAAGGCGUAAUGAUUUGGAUACUGUCUCGGAGAGGGACUCGGUGAAAUAGACUUGUCUGUGAAGAUGCGGACUACCUGCACCAGGACAGAAAGACCCUAUGAAGCUUUACUGUAACUUGAAAUUGAAAUUGGACUUUAUUCGCGCAGUAUAGGUGGGAGGCGUUGAUUAUAAUCUUGUGGGAUUAUUGGAGCCAUUAGUGAGAUACCACUCUUGUAAUGUUAGAUUUCUAACUUUGAAUCAUGAUCUGGUCAAAGAACAGUUUCAGGCGGGCAGUUUGACUGGGGCGGUCGCCUCCUAAAUGGUAACGGAGGCGUACAAAGGUUUCCUCUGAACGGGUAGAAAUCGUAUCUAGAGUGUAAAGGCAUAAGGAAGCUUGACUGUGAGACCUACAAGUCGAGCAGGGACGAAAGUCGGUCUUAGUGAUCUGACGGUACUGAGUGGAAAGGCCGUCACUCAACGGAUAAAAGUUACUCUAGGAUAACAGGCUGAUCUCCCCCAAGAGUUCACAUCGACGGGGAGGUUUGGCACCUCGAUGUCGGCUCAUCGCAUCCUGGGGCGGUAGUACGUCCCAAGGGUUGGGCUGUUCGCCCAUGAAAGCGGUACGCGAGCUGGGUUCAGAACGUCGUGAGACAGUUCGGUCCAUAUCCGGUGUAGGCGUUAGAAUAUUGAGAGGAGCCUUCUUUAGUACGAGAGGACCGAGAAGGACAUACCUCUGGUGUACCAGUUAUCGUGCCAACGGUAAACGCUGGGUAGCUAUGUAUGGAGUGGAUAACCGCUGAAAGCAUCUAAGUGGGAAGCCCACCUCAAGGUAAGUAUUCUCAC